GGCUCUUUGGCGAUGUGGUCAGUGUGUUUGACUUAUACCCAGGAGUCUGCAGGAUCAAUCCCUGCCUGGGCCU